GGGCUUUGCAGUGCUGGUGCAAACCCACAGCAAGGAGAGGGCCGAGCGAGGUGGUGGGGGGUGCAGAGGGGUGGGGGGUGCAAGGAGAUGGCAUGCAUGGUGCUGCCCCCGUGUCCUUUCCCUGUCUCCAUGUCCUUUCCCUGUCUCCACGGGUCAGCCCUGUUUGCUGCUUGCCCUCCUUUGUUCCUGAAGCACAUUUCUCAUCUCGUCUUGCUGUGAGCAAUGCGGAGGAGAGCUGCCUUUCAAACACGCCGUCCUGCGUCAGCCCCGGCCUCUUUGUUUCUUUUUAGUGUGCUCAGCUUCGUGCUGGGAGUGCAGGGUUUUUCCAGCCAGGACGGUUUGGAGCAUCAGACGUGUGCAGAAUGAGCGAUGCCGGAGCUUCGGGCUCAGCCAGGGCUGGAAAAACCCCCACUCUUUGUUUUGGGCUUGAAGCAAAACCACCUCCUCCACCUCUCCGUGGCUGUGCUUUAAGUCUGGGAAACAGCACGCGUGCAGCAUUCGGUGACACCCAGAGCCCAUAACUCAGGGGACGGACUCUGCACAGAUCCAUUCCCCAGCAUGGCCGGGCAGCACCUGGAUCCUGCUCUGCCUCCUCACAUCAAUCUCCCAGCUGGGAUUUGUCCAAAAACAAAAGGCUUGAAGCAAGCUGGAAUAACAGCACGAGGUCCCUGGGCACUGCACAGCCUGCAGUGUCCUCCAGCCCUGAGAUGAGCAGAGCCUCACGAUUGUGUUGCUCACGGGGGUGAUUUAUAGCCCUGGGUCUGUAAGUCCUUCUCUGGAGUAAGAAAGUAUUCCUAUCCCCAUAGCCUGCAUUCAUUAUAUUGAAGAUAAGGGAUUCUGCAUUCGAACAAAGAGAAUCUCUGCAGCGGUUUGGAAGGGAAUUUCUAGAGCUGUUUGGAAUUUCUAGAGAUGAAAUGAAAUCUCAAAACAAAUCCAAGAGAAGGCACAGAGACCGAGCACGGGCAGCUGGCUGACCAAAGGCUGACUGGAGCACUGGGCCCAGCGCUGUGUUCCCCAGUUCCAGGCAGACUGGGAACUGCUGGAGAGAUCGUUAUGGAGGGUGCAGAGCUGAUGGGGACCUGGAGAUGUCCUGAUGGGCAAAUGCUGAGAGCCGCAGCACUGUUCACCUGGAGAAGGUCGAGAGGGCAUCUGAGCAAUGCUUUACCAAACCCAAGCACUGCGGUCACUGUUGGUGCCCACCCCCAUCCCCUCCAUGCUGUGGGGUGAGAGCAGAGCUGGGGACACAGAUGGGGCUCACCGACCCCCCACUGCCUCCUGCACGCAGUGCAACCACAUUGCCACGCAGGGAAGAGGACGAGGGCCCUUCUCAAGGUGACCAGCUUCUUAUUUUUGGCCGCUAUCCCCCUGCUGCUGGAGCUGACCUGGGCUGCGAGCUGUUGAAGUUUUUAGGCCCUUUGUUUGUUUAAUGGAAGCGAUGUUUGUUUUUGAUCACAGGCAUUAGAUAGGCACUUCCUCUGCAUGCAGGAAGCAGUGAUUUCCUGUUCACUCGGCGGCCAACUCUCACUGCGCAGGAAACCUCGCUCUGCUGAGUGUUCACUUUUCGUGCAGCGUUUUUGGAAGUCCUCUCGUGGGGUUGUUUUGUUUUCUCUUUCCCCACCCCAAUGCUGUUGGGUUCCCAUAGGCUCCGGUGGGGCCAUUUCCCCACAUUUGGCUGAAGUCUCCCAAUGAGGUCCAAUACGGAGGCAAGGCAGCAUCACUGCUUUGAUGGUGUUUGUCACACUGUGAUGGUGUUUGUCACCACUGUGGUGGUGUUUCCCACUGUUUGGGUGAGGUUUGCCACUGUUUGGAUGGUGUUUGUCAUCAGUUCUGUGCUACCACCAACAGCACAAGCGCAUCCCUCUGCUUUCAUGGACCCGCUUGGUGCAGAUCCAUGCCUACGAUCACCCCAUUUGCCUCUCCCUGCUGUUCUGCUGAUGCCUAUGGGUUGUUCUGGAUGCAAUUUGCUGUUGAGGAGGGUACAUUUGUACCAGGUCACCUGGACAACUUGCUGUCAUGGGCAGAGUUAAAGCAGGGAGCUGGACCAAGCCUGCCCUGUUUGCUCCUUUCCUUGCUGGGACUUUUAGGCAGAUAAGUGCUCUGUGGGAAUGCAGCUGGUGAUUAUUACUGAUUACCCAAUAAAUUUGUGUGAGAACUCUGCUGUGGGUGCAUGGCUUGUGCUUCCCAGCAGCUUGCUUCUCAUCUCUGCAAUGCUCUUCUGGCUUUGCUCCCUUCUGGCUGCAGCAGCACGCCCAGGUCAGUCCGUAUAGCAUAAUGAAUGGGGACAGAGCUGAUGAUGCUUCCCACCUGGAGAGGUGCUUUUGAGGUGGAAAAGAGGUCCAUAGGACUUCCAGUUGUACCAAAGGCAGCUGGGAUGGGGAUCCGUUGUCAACUCUGUGCAUAGGAGGGUGGUUUUAAUCUGUGUGUUUGUUGGUAUCUCAGAGCUGACCCAGACAGGACUUUGCUGUAGCAGUGUGCUCAGAGCUGUGGUGGCAGAUGCCUCCGGCCACAGCAAGCCUGGACAGGUGGACAGACAGACAUGGCUGUGUGGGAGCAUUCAAUCUGAUGCUGGCCAUCGGUGUCCUCAUCUGCUGGAGCUUUUAAUUACUUUGCUGUUGUAAAGGGGCCCCCUUCGAGGGAGGGGGUUUGUGAUGGGGAGGAACAGAGGGAACGGGAGAGCUCAGAACCCCACAGCCACGGGACAGACACGUCCUGCAGACACCCAUGUAGGGGAGAGCAUUGGAUGCUCUGCGUUGUGCAAUGGCAGUGAAUGGAGCAGCACGAUGGAUGGAGGGAUGGGGCUGGGAGGAGGGCAGAUGCCUUCAGGGCUCCUCCAGCCCAGGACACCACCACAGCAGCCCCUCCUGCCUGGUUCCUGGAGAGCUCACCGUUCCCCCGGCCCCUUCCGAUCAUUGCACGUCGCUGACAUCAUUGCCAGUUGCCAUGGAAAAGGCAGGUUGUCCAAAACACGACCCCUUGGCCUCAUCCCAUGCGUGUCAGGAAAUGAAGGUUUUACAGCACAACGCUGCAGCAGAGCAGGAAGAGCCGGAGAGGGACCGGCAGCUUGGAGACAGGCACAUGGCUCUGCCCCCUCUGUGAUGGGGAAAUGGAGACCAACUGGGGCUACCAGAUGGAUUUGUGUCUUCUGAGUUAUUUCUGGGCUGCUGGGGAGGCAAGGUGGAGCUUUAAAGUUGGUGCCCGGAGAGAAGGCAAGAAGUCUGCGUGAAGCUCUGAGCAAUGCAACA
rnacentral:lncRNA from 1 species